rnacentral:rRNA from 1 species
AACGUAGGACGCAAGCGUUAUCCGGAAUUACUGGGCGUAAAGCGCGUGUAGGUGGUUGCAUAAGUCACUGUUGAAAGCUCCCGGCUAAACUGGGAGAGGUGCGGUGAGACUGUGCGGCUAGAGUAUGGGAGAGGGAUGCAGAAUUCCGGGUGUAGUGGUGAAAUGCGUAGAGAUCCGGAGGAAUACCAGAGGCGAAGGCGGCAUCCUGGCCUAAAACUGACACUGAGACGCGAAAGCAUGGGGAGCGAACGGG